rnacentral:rRNA from 2 species
UGGGGGGGGCCUUAAAACAUGCAAGUCGAGCGGACAGAUGGGAGCUUGCUCCCUGAUGUUAGCGGCGGACGGGUGAGUAACACGUGGGUAACCUGCCUGUAAGACUGGGAUAACUCCGGGAAACCGGGGCUAAUACCGGAUGGUUGUUUGAACCGCAUGGUUCAAACAUAAAAGGUGGCUUCGGCUACCACUUACAGAUGGACCCGCGGCGCAUUACCUAGUUGGUGAGGUAACGGCUCACCAAGGCAACGAUGCGUAGCCAACCUGAGAGGGUGAUCGGCCACACUGGGACUGAAACACGGCCCAAACUCCUACGGGAGGCAGCAGUAGGGAAUCUUCCGCAAUGGACAAAAGUCUGACGGAGCAACGCCGCGUGAGUGAUGAAGGUUUUCGGAUCGUAAAGCUCUGUUGUUAGGGAAAAACAAGUACCGUUCGAAUAGGGCGGUACCUUGACGGUACCUAACCAAAAAGCCACGGCUAACUACGUGCCAGCAGCCGCGGUAAUACGUAGGUGGCAAGCGUUGUCCGGAAUUAUUGGGCGUAAAGGGCUCGCAGGCGGUUUCUUAAGUCUGAUGUGAAAGCCCCCGGCUCAACCGGGGAGGGUCAUUGGAAACUGGGGAACUUGAGUGCAGAAGAGGAGAGUGGAAUUCCACGUGUAGCGGUGAAAUGCGUAGAGAUGUGGAGGAACACCAGUGGCGAAGGCGACUCUCUGGUCUGUAACUGACGCUGAGGAGCGAAGCGUGAGGAGCGAACAGGAUUAGAUACCCUGGUAGUCCACGCCGUAACGAUGAGUGCUAGUGUUAAGGGUUCGCCCCUUAGUGCUGCAGCUACGCAUAGCACUCGGCUGGGGAGUACGGUCGCAGACUGAAACUCAAGAUGGACGAGCGCAAGCGUGGACAUGUGAUACUCGAAGCACGCGAGCAC